GAUGAACGCUGGCGGCGUGCCAAAUACAUGCAAGUCGAGCGAACAGACGAGGAGCUUGCUCCUCUGACGUUAGCGGCGGACGGGAGAGUAACACGUGGAUAACCUACCUAUAAGACUGGGAUAACUUCGGGAAACCGGAGCUAAUACCGGAUAAUCUAUUAAACCGCAUGGUUCAAUAGUGAAAGACGGUUUUGCUGUCACUUAUAGAUGGAUCCGCGCCGCAUUAGCUAGUUGGUAAGGUAACGGCUUACCAAGGCAACGAUGCGUAGCCGACCUGAGAGGGUGAUCGGCCACACUGGAACUGAGACACGGUCGAGACUCCUACGGGAGGCAGCAGUAGGGAAUCUUCCGCGAUGGGCGAAUGCCUGACGGAGCAACGCCGCGUGAGUGAUGAACGUCUUCGGAUCGUAAAGCUCUGUUAUUAUGGAAGAACAAAUGUGUAAGUAACUAUGCUCGUCUUGACGGUACCUGAUCAGAAAGCCACGGCUAACUACGUG
rnacentral:rRNA from 1 species